UAUUGGACAAUGGGCGAAAGCCUGAUCCAGCAAUGCCGCGUGAGUGAUGAAGGCCUUCGGGUCGUAAAGCUCUUUUACCAGGGAUGAUAAUGACAGUACCUGGAGAAUAAGCUCCGGCUAACUCCGUGCCAGCAGCCGCGGUAAUACGGAGGGAGCUAGCGUUGUUCGGAAUUACUGGGCGUAAAGAGUACGUAGGCGGUUAUUCAAGUCAGAGGUGAAAGCCCGGGGCUCAACCCCGGAACUGCCUUUGAAACUAGAUAACUAGAGUCUUGGAGAGGUUAGUGGAAUUCCGAGUGUAGAGGUGAAAUUCGUAGAUAUUCGGAAGAACACCAGUGGCGAAGGCGACUAACUGACAAGUACUACGCUGAGACAAA
rnacentral:rRNA from 1 species